rnacentral:lncRNA from 1 species
CCCUUACCAGCUGAAAGUUUCUAGACGAAGGGCAUAUACCAGUUAAACUCCGCCAUUUUGCCUCUCAGUGUUCAAGCUUGAGCCCACGCAUCCAACUCCUGAGAUCUUACUGGGAAGCUGCUGAUCAUCAGUUUCAGAAGACGGGUUGAAGAUCCGAGAGGCUGAGUCACUUCCACAAAGUAACACAGCUGAUUUUAAAUGCCUGCAUUCAGCAUCCCUGCAGCAGGCUCCAGGUGGAAUUCUAAUGGGACCAGCCUCCAGUCCCUGGACCUUAGCCGUGGAAGGAGAGAAGAGGACAUCUGCACCUCCUCUCAGAGAAAGCCUGAUGCCUACUAAAGGACUUGGGUGGUGGACGCAGUGACCCUCAGUCUGGAGCUUGUUCACUGAACAUUGGAGACUAUCAUUUGCGCAGAUGGUCUUGGGCCUCUAUGAGCAGCAGGCUGCACCCCACAGUGACCUCCUCAUUCUACUCUGAGGCAUCUUCAUGAAAGCAGAUGUCCAUUGAAAAGCACCCAAGUGCAGUCUCAGCUGAUGAACUUCAGAGGCGAUUGAGACAAAGGCUCUCGGUCCCCUCUGCCCUUGGAUGGUGCCUCUGGUAUGCACUUGGCCUCUGUGUCUUUAUUUAGACUGGUCACUUCACAACCCAUCAUGUCACCCCACCCCUAACCGUGCCCACUCUGGGUCCUCCCCUCAACUGCCUGACUUCCCACUUUGAGCUCAGCAAAGGCAAUAGAUGUUUUGUCUGCUUCGAUACCCUAAAUGCAUGGCGUGGAAGCUGGCACACAGUGGGCCCUUGAAAUUUGGGAGUGAAUAUGUAUAUAUAUUAUAUUCCAACCUCAACUUUCCUCACUGCUCCUCAUAGUAGGAAUGGAUUGUAAAACUUCCCAGAAUGUUCAAGAGGAGAAAGGAGAGAAAACAGCCUGGAAUUUGAGCUAAGGGGCCCACAGCCCAGCCACCAAGCCAUCUGUAAAAUGGGGUGGGAAUAUGACAUGAGCCACAGGGGUGCUAUGAGGGUUAAUGAGGUCACCGUGCGAUGUACCAUGCCAACAUGAAUAACCAGACCUCUUGAUAUCA